AAAAAAGCUUGCUUUUUUUGAUGACGAGUGGCGGACGGGUGAGUAAGGUUUGGGAAACUGCCUGAUAGAGGGGGACAACAGUUGGAAACGACUGCUAAUACCGCAUAAUGUUAUUUGGGGGCAUCCCCGAAUAACCAAAGCUUUAUGUGCUGAAAGAUGGGCUCGCGUCUGAUUAGCUAGUUGGUAAGGUAACGGCUUACCAAGGCGACGAUCAGUAGCCGGACUGAGAGGUUGAUCGGCCACAUUGGGACUGAGACACGGCCCAGACUCCUACGGGGAGGCAGCAGUGGGGAAUAUUGCGCAAUGGGGGCAACCCUGACGCAGCAACGCCGCGUGAAGGAUGAAGGUCUUCGGAUUGUAAACUUCUGUUCUGAGGGACGAACAAGGACGGUACCUCAGGAGGAAGCCACGGCUAACUACGUG
rnacentral:rRNA from 1 species